CCUACGGGCGGCAGCAGUGAGGAAUAUUGGUCAAUGGGAGAGAUCCUGAACCAGCCAAGCCGCGUGAGGGAAGACGGCCCUAUGGGUUGUAAACCUCUUUUAUCGGAGAACAAAACCCGGGACGUGUCCCGGACUGCGUGUAUCCGAAGAAAAAGCAUCGGCUAACUCCGUGCCAGCAGCCGCGGUAAUACGGAGGAUGCGAGCGUUAUCCGGAUUUAUUGGGUUUAAAGGGUGCGUAGGCGGUCCGUUAAGUGUGCGGGAAAAUUGCGGGGCUCAACCCCGUCGAGCCGGUGAAACUGGCAGACUUGAGUUGGCGAGAAGUACGCGGAAUGCGAGGUGUAGCGGUGAAAUGCAUAGAUAUCGCGCAGAACUCCGAUUGCGAAGGCAGCGUACCGGCGCCAGACUGACGCUGAGGCACGAAAGCGUGGGGAUCGAACAGGAUUAGAUACCCCGGUAGUC
rnacentral:rRNA from 1 species